CCUACGGGGGGCUGCAGUAAGGAAUAUUGGUCAAUGGAGGAAACUCUGAACCAGCCAUCCCGCGUGAAGGAUGAAGGGGCUCUGCCUUGUAAACUUCUUUUGUCUGGGGCGAAACAGCUCGAUUUAUCGAGAACUGACGGUACCAGAAGAAUAAGCACCGGCUAACUCCGUGCCAGCAGCCGCGGUAAUACGGAGGGUGCCGGCGUUAUCCGGAAUAAAGGGGUUUAAAGGGGGCGUAUACGGCUUAGUUGAAAGGCUGUGGCUUAACCAUGGAAUUGCCAUUGAUACUGCAGAGCUUGAAUGAGGUUGAGGUAGGCGGAAUGUGACAUGUAGCGGUGAAAUGCUUAGAUAUGUCAUGGAACACCGAUUGCGAAGGCAGCUGACUGGACCUAUAUUGACGCUGAGGCACGAAAGCGUGGGGAGCGAACAGGAUUAGAUACCCUGGUAGUC
rnacentral:rRNA from 1 species